rnacentral:lncRNA from 1 species
UCUUCAGCAAGGAGACUAAACACAACUUACCUACUCUCUUCCACCAGCCGCUUGUUUGUACAGAGACCUCAGAUGAGUCCAUUUCUUUAUGGAAAUGCAAGAGGGAGAAGAACUAGUGCGUCUGCAGUGCAAAAUGAUUAAUAUGGUGAUUAUUACUUAAAGGAAAUGAUAAAGUAAUGAACAAAGUCAGGCAGUUCAGCAGUUUGAUCUCACCCCCGUAGUCUUGUGCCUGUGUGCCACUGGGCAAGACUCUUCAAUCGCUCAAAUCGCUCCUGGUGACAUAAUCAAAUGUGAUUUGCCAGAUUUUAGAGUACUCAGUGCUACCAUGCAAACAGGCUUUACAGAGACAUUGAUUUUAUUUUCAAGCAGGACUAGGCACCUGUCCACAGUGCCAAAACUACAACCAAAUGGUUAACUAAAUGCAAUAUUACUAUAUUUGAUUUGCCAGCAACUCAUCUAAACUGACCCCAGAAAGUAAGCACAUGUCUGUAAAACCUUAAUGAGCUGAAGGCUGAACACCACUAUGCCAAGCCCUACUGAUACAGUAAAUUGUGGUGAAAGCAAUUAAUCAAUCUUAUAUUAUACAGCGCCAAUUCACAACACAAGUUAUCUCAAGAUGCUUAACAAAAAAAAAGUGGUCUGGACCAAACUCUGUAAAAAAAAAAAAAAAAAAAGUAAAGUUGGGAUAAGAUUGAGCUCUGUUAGAGCCUGUAUGUAACAACAAUCUGAAAUGUAAUUAAAGAAAAUGUUAUAAUACCCCCAAUGUAGUAACUGGUCAGUAAUGCAACAAAAGUGCUGAGCCUGAAAUGUAAUGAAAGAAUUGUAAUAAAACCCAAAGUGUAAUAAGUGACUAAAAAUGUAGUUGUUACAUCAGCAGCAACAUAAAAUGCAUAUAGCUCGAAGCUUUGCAAGAAAGAACUAACUGAUGACAGGCCCCCACCACCUUAAAGGUGGGGUAGGCAGGAAUCUAUUAAAGAAGCAUCUUUUAUGUAGUCUAUAUACAAAAAAGCUUUUAAUAUCUGUCAAUAGCUGUUAGUUAUUGAUGACAUUUGGUAAUAUAACGAUAUCACUGUGUUUUGUUAUGUCUGUGUAGUCAACAUUUUACAUUUUUUGAGCGGCCCGCUCUUUCUGUAAGCAAAGCCAUUCUCUGCCUCCCCCAACCUGAUCACCCUCAUUUUGUGAGGCACGCUCCACGUCCUCCAAUAAUAUGCACAAGCUUAAACAAAGUUAGCAUGCUACAGUAUUGGACAGUAGAAAUGAACCAGAAAGUACAGAAACUACAAGCAAUAAAACAAAGUAAACACUGGAGACUCUGGCCACAUAAUGGGCACUUAAAACAGAGGUAGAGUGGACAAGAGCUAAGAGGCCAAGUCAACAUCAGCAUAAAUGAUGGGGGACGCUUUGGGAUCUUACAGACCCUGUAACCUUUCUGCUGUCAGGUAAACUGCUUUAACAAAGUAAGGCAAGUGUCUGUAACAGAAGUGUUUCUUGUCAAACGGGACCUGCUGCGUGUUGUAGCGCUUUACCUCGGGUCCUGGAGUAUGUCACUUGAUGCUAGUUGUAGAAGUCCUGCAAACAUUGUGUUUGCUGGUAGUCUGUUGGCAUCUACAGUAGCACCAAUGCUUUUCUUUUACGUUGACUGGGCCCCAUUUGUAACCAUCUCAAGUAUUUAUCUGUAUUGUAUCUGAAUUUAAUUGAAAUGAUUCGAGCGAGCAGGAGCAUCUGUUUAUGGGCGGGGCUUGCUCAAGCAGAGAGGGAGGAGCUGAGGGGAAAACUGGUUAGGAGGGGUAGUGUUUACAUUCAAGGUUUCUCCCAAAAACUGGCACUUCCUCAGGUCCUGCCAACCCCACCUUUAAGUUGGGCCACCCCUGUCAAAAAUGUCUGGGCACACUCAUGCCAAACAGCAGUCAUAACCUGGAGUAACAUUAGUCAAAGCAAGUUACCAACCAUUCGCACUGAUUAAUUUAUAAAAUUCAUUUUGCUGGAUACCUAAGUCACACUAACAUAUUAAUCUUAUAGUUUUUACUUGUAGGAUUUGAAUAAGUGUUCGGUCCAGAUAUGUAUUCAGAGAGAGAUUUACAAGAUAUAUGUAUAAAUGCAAACUAACAAAUAUUUAGAAAUUAUUUUGGUGAUGUAAUAAUUU